GACGGAGGGGGCAAGCGUUGUUCGGAAUUACUGGGCGUAAAGGGCUCGUAGGCGGCCAACUAAGUCGGACGUGAAAUCCCCAGGCUCAACCUGGGAACUGCGUCCGAUACUGGAUGGCUUGAAUCCGGGAGAGGGAUGCAGAAUUCCAGGUGUAGCGGUGAAAUGCGUAGAUAUCUGGAGGAACACCGGUGGCGAAGGCGGCAUUCUGGACUGCAACUGACACUGAGGAACGAAAGCCAGGGGAGCAAACGGG
rnacentral:rRNA from 1 species